rnacentral:lncRNA from 1 species
UCCUGAAAGUCGCAUGUUAUUGCAUUACCGCUGCACAUCAUCAAUAUAUACAUUACCAUGACGGCACAGAAACAGGAAGCGAGUGAGUCAGAUCCGAAACACAGCAUGAUCGUGUCCACAACGCGCACGACACAACCGUAAACGUGUCAUACAAUAUCAAGGGGCAUUACAGGUUCGCAGAUGCAAGGCCGGGUGGCUUCUCUACUACUCCCUCCGUCCCAAAAUUCUUGUCUUAGAUUCAUCUAGAUACGGAUAUAUCUAAUACUAAAACGUGAUUUGAUACAUCCGUAUUUAAACAAAUCUAAGACAAGAAUUUUGGGACGGAGGGAGUACAUUACUCCAGGCCCAGGCCAAUGCUAGCCUGUCAAGUCGACGGCGCUAUCAGCUCAUCCAGGCCUUCUUCUUGAAGCCCUGCACAGAUGAUGUUAUACGCAGUUGUGAGCAGGUAAAUUUGGAACUUUAAACCUAUACGAACUUGUGCUGGAGAUCAUAAAAAGCUCUCCUACUCAACCCAGUGGCGCAUGUUCAAAUCACCAGAGGGCGCCACGUUUUUCGAUGGUGGAAGACCUGCAAUUCUACUCCUGAUAGGAAUAUCCUAGUAAGAACAAAGAACAAACGGG